UACUUAUUGGCGCACAGAAAGGGAAAUGUUAGUGUGAUCUUGCACAAAGAUUCAGCGGCCGCAGAUGUGUUGAAAUCGUAUAUACACGCGAUGGUUUUGGCAAACCUUAUGGAAAAAAGCACAUCUUUCUAUUCGGAAGGAGAAGCUUGGAUGGAUAAACACUAUGACGAAUUUCUCCACAAGCUAAGAUCAGGAGGUUGGAAAACAGAACGUCUUCUUUCACCUUCCAUUACUUGGAGAGCAAAUUGGAUAAUCUCACACUUCCGGUGCUAAGAUCGACUGAAGCUUUAUCGCCUUUUUUUAAGAUCAAAAUUGUUUGGCAAAGUACUAGAAACUGAUAUGUUAGUUCUUGGUUUCCAUAUUCUAUAGUAGGUUGGAUCAUAUGCUUUUGAAGUUUUGUUACAUAUUUCUCCAAACUACUUUACUCAGUCAA